ACGCUCGACACCUACGGGAGACAGCAGUAGGGAAUCUUCCACAAUGGACGCAAGUCUGAUGGAGCAACGCCGCGUGAGUGAAGAAGGUUUUCGGAUCGUAAAGCUCUGUUGUUGGUGAAGAAGGAUAGAGGUAGUAACUGGCCUUUAUUUGACGGUAAUCAACCAGAAAGUCACGGCUAACUACGCGCCAGCAGCCGCGGUAAUCUGAGCGGGCUGGCAAGGC
rnacentral:rRNA from 1 species